UUCGCAAUGCCCGAAAGGGUGACGAAGCGACGCCGCGUGUGGGAAGAAGGCCUUCGGGUUGUAAACCACUGUCGGGAGUUAGGAAAUGUAAGGGUGUUAAUAGCAUCCUUACUUGACUAAGGCUCCGGAGGAAGCCACGGCUAACUCUGUGCCAGCAGCCGCGGUAAUACAGAGGCGGCAAGCGUUGUUCGGAAUUAUUGGGCGUAAAGAGCACGUAGGCGGCCUUGUAAGUCAGUUGUGAAAGCCUUCUGCUUAACGGAAGAACAGCAGCUGAUACUGCAAGGCUAGAGUGCGGAAGGGGAGAGUGGAACUUCUGGUGGAGCGGUGAAAUGCGUAGAUAUCAGAAGAAACACCGGCGGCGAAGGCGACUCUCUGGUCCGUAACUGACGCUGAGUGUGCGAAAGCUAGGGGAGCAAACGGGAUUAGAUACCCCGGUAGUCCUAGCCGUAAACGAUGGGCACUAA
rnacentral:rRNA from 1 species